ACGGGUGAGUAAUAUAUCGGAACGUGCCCUAGAGUGGGGGAUAACUAGUCGAAAGACUAGCUAAUACCGCAUACGAUCUACGGAUGAAAGGUAGUCGGGAAAUGUCUUUUCGCUAGGGGAUGAGACUAUAUGGUAUCAGGUAGUGGGUGGGUUAAUAGCCUACCAAGCCUAUGACACCUAGCUGGUCUGAGAGGAUGAUCAGCCACACUGGAACUGAGACACGGUCCAGACUCCUACGGGAGGCAGCAGUGGGGAAUAUUGCACAAUGGAGGAAACUCUGAUGCAGCAACGCCGCGUGGAGGAUGACGCAUUUCGGUGUGUAAACUCCUUUUAUAUGGGAAGAUAAUGACGGUACCAUAUGAAUAAGCACCGGCUAACUCCGUGGCCAGCAGCCGCGGUAAUACGGAGGGUGCAAGCGGUACUCGGAAUCACUGGGCGUAAAGGACACGUAGGCGGGUUGGAAAGUCAGAUGUGAAAUCCUACACAGCUUAACUGUAGAACUGCAUUUGAAACUUCCAACCUAGAGUAUGGGAGGGGGAGAUGGAAUUAGUGGUGUAGGGGUAAAAUCCGUAGAUAUCACUAGGAAUACCUAAAGCGAAGGCGAUCUCCUGGAACAUUACUGACGCUAAGGCGUGAAAGCGUGGGGAGCAAACGGGAUUAGAUACCCCGGUAGUCCACGCCCUAAACGAUGAACACUAGUCGUCGGGAAGCUUGUCUUCUCGGUGAUGCACUUAACAGAUUAAGUGUUCCGCCUGGGGAGUACGGUCGCAAGAUUAAAACUCAAAGGAAUAGACGGGGACCCGCACAAGUGGUGGAGCAUGUGGUUUAAUUCGAAAAUACGCGAAGAACCUUACCUAGCCUUGACAUUGAUUGAAUUUUCCAGAGAUGGAGAAGUGCCUUUCGGGGAACAUGAAAACAGGUGCUGCACGGCUGUCGUCAGCUCGUGUCGUGAGAUGUUGGGUUAAGUCCCGCAACGGGCGCAACCCUCCGUCCUUAGUUUGCCAGCAGGUUUAAGCCUGGGCACUUCUAGGGGAGACUGCCCUUCGCUAAGGAGGAAGGAAGGUGAGGGACGACGGUCAAGUCAUCAUGGCCCCUUACGGCCAGGGCUACACACGUGCUACAAUGGGGCGUACAGAGGGUUGCGAUAUCCGCGAGGUGGAGCUAAUCACUUAAAGCCGUCUCCCAGUUCGGAUGGAAGUCUGCAGACUCCGACUCCAUGAAGCUGGAAUCACUAAUAAUCGUAGAUCAGCAAUGCCCCGGGGAAUACGUUCCCGGGUCUUGUACCUCACCGCCCGU
rnacentral:rRNA from 1 species